UACGAAGGUGUCGAACGUUGUCCGGGAUAACUGGGCGUAAAGGGCGCGUAGGCGGUCGGGUAAGUGGGAUGUGAAAGCUCUGGGCUCAACCCAGGAAUUGCAUUCCAUACUGCUCGACUUGAGUUCGGUAGAGGAAAGUGGAAUUCCUAGUGUAGCGGUGAAAUGCGUAGAUAUCAGGAGGAACACCGGUGGUGUAGACGGCUUUCUGGACCGACACUGACGCUGAAACACGAAAGCGUGGGUAGCAAACAGG
rnacentral:rRNA from 1 species